rnacentral:rRNA from 1 species
ACGCUCGACACCUACGGGAGCAGCAGUGGGGAAUAUUGCACAAUGGGGGAAACCCUGAUGCAGCGACGCCGCGUGAGUGAAGAAGUAAUUCGUUAUGUAAAGCUCUAUCAGCAGGGAAGAAAGUGACGGUACCUGAGUAAGAAGCCCCGGCUAACUACGUGCCAGCAGCCGCGGUAAUCUGAGCGGGCUGGCAAGGC